rnacentral:rRNA from 1 species
CUACGGGGGGCACCAGUGGGGAAUUUUGCGCAAUGGGCGGAAGCCUGACGCAGCAAUACCGCGUGAGUGAAGAAGGCCUUUGGGUCGUAAAGCUCUUUUCUGAAGGAAGAUAGUGACGGUACUUCAGGAAUAAGCACCGGCUAACUCCGUGCCAGCAGCCGCGGUAAUACGGAGGGUGCAAGCGUUGUUCGGAUUUACUGGGCGUAAAGGGCACGUAGGCGGCACAGCAAGUUAAGGGUGAAAUCCCGGGGCUCAACUCCGGAACUGCUCUUAAAACUGCUGAGCUAGAGAUAGUCAGAGGCGGGUGGAAUUCCUGGUGUAGAGGUGAAAUUCGUAGAUAUCAGGAGGAACACCGGUGGCGAAGGCGGCCCGCUGGGGCUAUUCUGACGCUAAGGUGCGAAAGCGUGGGGAGCGAACGGGAUUAGAUACCCUGGUAGUC